UAGGGGGCAAGCGUUAUCCGGAUUUACUGGGUGUAAAGGGAGCGUAGACGGCCAUGCAAGUCUGGAGUGAAAUCCCGGGGCUCAACCCCGGAACUGCUUUGGAAACUGUAAGGCUGGAGUGCAGGAGAGGUAAGUGGAAUUCCUAGUGUAGCGGUGAAAUGCGUAGAUAUUAGGAGGAACACCAGUGGCGAAGGCGGCUUACUGGACUGUAACUGACGUUGAGGCUCGAAAGCGUGGGGAGCAAAC
rnacentral:rRNA from 1 species